GCCCCCGUAGCUCAGCUGGAUAGAGCAGUGAGCUUCUACCUCACGUGCCGCAGGUUCGAGUCCUGCCGGGGGUG
rnacentral:tRNA from 1 species